rnacentral:lncRNA from 1 species
CAUGGUGAUCUGCCUCUGAUCUUAUGCAAAGUAUACAGUUCUUGUCUUUUUGCUCUUUAUCUCACAGCUUGCAGGCCGUGAUCACACACAGCUUGUUAUCAUAUGCGAGGCCCGGAGCUGAUGAAUGGGAUACUUCUGAAGGCUUUGAUGGCAUAAUGAAUACCUGCAGGAGGAUGAUGUGGCCCUCCGUGUUGCUGUAGUUGACAUAGCAACAGUCUUGAUGAUAGUCAACCGUGUUCAGGAAAUAAGAGCAGUGCAGGGGAUGAGGCAAUGAGGCCCAGUGUUAAGCCAUACAUGAUGCCACUUCAGCUGAGAAGCGGAUUGUCAGGAUGUAGUGUGUGAAAGCGUCUCCGUCUGAUGUAUCUGGAAGAAAAAAAAUAAAUAAACAAACAAGCGAGUGAAGAAUAAGAGCAGAGAGCCUGAGGAACUUAGCGGAAGUGUUGGAGAUGGAAAGAAGAGAAUGAUCAACGAGGGAAAAGAUCAGUGUUGGAUUAAGAUCAGAAGAAGAUUACAG